rnacentral:rRNA from 1 species
AUGAACGCUGGCGGCGUGCCUAAUACAUGCCAGUCGAGCGAACGGACGAGAAGCUUGCUUUUCUGAUGUUAGCGGCGGACGGGGGAGUAACACGUGGAUAACCUACCUAUAAGACUGGGAUAACUUCGGGAAACCGGAGCUAAUACCGGAUAAUAUUUUGAACCGCAUGGUUCAAAAGUGAAAGACGGUCUUGCUGUCACUUAUAGAUGGAUCCGCGCUGCAUUAGCUAGUUGGUAAGGUAACGGCUUACCAAGGCAACGAUGCAUAGCCGACCUGAGAGGGUGAUCGGCCACACUGGAACUGAGACACGGUCCAGACUCCUACGGGAGGCAGCAGUAGGGAAUCUUCCGCAAUGGGCGAAAGCCUGACGGAGCAACGCCGCGUGAGUGAUGAAGGUCUUCGGAUCGUAAAACUCUGUUAUUAGGGAAGAACAUAUGUGUAAGUAACUGUGCACAUCUUGACGGUACCUAAUCAGAAAGCCACGGCUAACUACGUG